rnacentral:rRNA from 1 species
UACGUAGGGGGCAAGCGUUGUCCGGAUUUAUUGGGCGUAAAGAGCGUGUAGGCGGCUUGACAGGUCUGCUGUGAAAGCUCGAGGCUCAACCUCGAGAUGUCGGCGGAAACCGUCUGGCUAGAGUCCGGAAGAGGAGAGUGGAAUUCCUGGUGUAGCGGUGAAAUGCGCAGAUAUCAGGAGGAACACCAAUUGCGAAGGCAGCUCGCUGGGACGUUACUGACGCUGAGACGCGAAAGCGUGGGGAGCAAACAGG